UACGUAGGGGGCAAGCGUUGUCCGGAUUUAUUGGGCGUAAAGAGCGUGUAGGCGGCCAGACAGGUCCGUUGUGAAAACUCGAGGCUCAACCUCGAGACGUCGAUGGAAACCGUCUGGCUAGAGUCCGGAAGAGGAGAGUGGAAUUCCUGGUGUAGCGGUGAAAUGCGCAGAUAUCAGGAAGAACACCAAUGGCGAAGGCAGCUCUCUGGGACGGUACUGACGCUGAGACGCGAAAGCGUGGGGAGCGAACAGG
rnacentral:rRNA from 1 species